rnacentral:rRNA from 1 species
UGGGGAAUUUUGCACAAUGGGGGAAACCCUGAUGCAGCGACGCCGCGUGAUUUAGAAGGCCUUCGGGUUGUAAAAAUCUUUUCUAUGGGAAGAAAAUGACAGUACCAUAGGAAUAAGGUCCGGCUAAUUACGUGCCAGCAGCCGCGGUAAUACGUAAGGUCCGAGCGUUGUCCGGAAUCAUUGGGCGUAAAGGGUACGUAGGCGGGUAAGCAAGUUAGAAGUGAAAUCCUAUAGCUCAACUAUAGUAAGCUUUUAAAACUGCUCAUCUUGAGGUAUGGAAGGGAAAGUGGAAUUCCUAGUGUAGCGGUGAAAUGCGCAGAUAUUAGGAGGAAUACCGGUGGCGAAGGCGACUUUCUGGCCAUAACCUGACGCUGAGGUACGAAAGCGUGGGUAGCAAACAGG